AGUGAACGCUGGCGGUAGGCCUAACACAUGCAAGUCGAACGGCAGCACAGUAAGAGCUUGCUCUUACGGGUGGCGAGUGGCGGACGGGUGAGGAAUACAUCGGAAUCUACUUUUUCGUGGGGGAUAACGUAGGGAAACUUACGCUAAUACCGCAUACGACCUACGGGUGAAAGCAGGGGAUCUUCGGACCUUGCGCGAUUGAAUGAGCCGAUGUCGGAUUAGCUAGUUGGCGGGGUAAAGGCCCACCAAGGCGACGAUCCGUAGCUGGUCUGAGAGGAUGAUCAGCCACACUGGAACUGAGACACGGUCCAGACUCCUACGGGAGGCCGCAGUGGGGAAUAUUGGACAAUGUGCGCAAGCCUGAUCCAGCCAUACCGCGUGGGUGAAGAGGGCCUUCGGGUUGUAAAGCCCUUUUGUUGGUAAAGAAAAGCAGCAGGUUAAUACCCCGCUGUUCUGACGGUACCCAAAGAAUAAGCACCGGCUAACUUCGUG
rnacentral:rRNA from 1 species